GUGAGGGGCGUGGUGGUUCACGCCUGUAAUCCCAACACUUUGGGAAGCCGAGGUGGGCAGAUCAUUUGAGCUGAGGAGUUCAAGACCAGCCUGGACAACAUGCUGAAACCCCAUCUCUACUAAAACUACAAAGAAUUAGCCAGGCAUGGUAGCACAUGCCUGUAGUCCCAGCCACUCAGGAGCCUAAGGCAGGAGAAUUGCUUGAACUUCCCCAGCUUCAAGAGGAAGAGUCUGCAGUGAGCCGAGAUGGCGCCACUGCACUCCAGCCUGGGUGACAAGAGUAAAACUCCCUCUCAAAACAAACAAACAAACCAAAAAAACAAAUAGCAACAGCAACCACAAUCAUCAUCACCAUCAAGGCUGGAACAAGGAUGAGGCAGGCAGGCUCUGAUAGCAACAGGAGGAAGCAGACCAAGGAGGGAGAGAAAGGAAGGCAGAGAAGGGGAAAAAAAAACACAAAUGAUAAUAAUAGAUGCUGACAUUUACGGAGCACUUACUAUGUGCUGGGAACCAUGCUGACGGCACACCGAAUCCACUGAACAGGUGGAUCUCUUUGGGUUUUGGAAUAACAAAAAAGGGACUGUACAUGGAUAUUUCCAAGCUGGAACCGAGGCACUUUCUAGACGAAGGCAGCCUUAUCCCCAGGAGAUGAUUGAAAAUGUAAGAACUAUUCUGAGCCUGCAGGCCAUAGCCAAAGAGGUACCGGCUGUAUUUUGUCCAUGGGCAGGAGCUUGUGACUGCUGGUCUAGGUCAUUCCAGGUCAACCAGGGGCCUCUCCCAGAGUGAGAACCACUGGUGAUUCCCCAGAGUGGGACCAAGUGAAAGCACUUGGCUGGAUCAGAG
rnacentral:lncRNA from 1 species